UGGAACUUUAAGGAGGCAAGGUGCUCUGCUAGAAUAAUGCAAUGAAUGGCAAGCUUGCCUGUUUCAAAGGCUCUGUAGUGUAUGUGGCAGUGUAAGGGGUGCCGGGUAGAAGUAUCAAGUAGGUCUGAACUUCUAAGACACUACAAAGUUAAACAUCCUCACUUUGGGCGCACUGCUAGAUUUCCAUGUACAUACUUUUCUUGUCCAUGCACAUUUAAAACAUGGAAUGCAUUAAUUUGCCACCAAAGUAGACUACACAGAAAUGUAACACAAAAAAAUCACUCAACUUUUACCUGUCAACUUUGUGAUUGUAAGAA